rnacentral:rRNA from 1 species
AGUGGCGCACGGGUGCGUAACGCGUGGGAACCUGCCUUUAGGUUCGGAAUAACAGUUAGAAAUGACUGCUAAUACCGGAUAAUGUCUUCGGACCAAAGAUUUAUCGCCUUUAGAUGGGCCCGCGUUAGAUUAGAUAGUUGGUGGGGUAAUGGCCUACCAAGUCGACGAUCUAUAGCUGGUCUGAGAGGAUGAUCAGCCACACUGGGACUGAGACACGGCCCAGACUCCUACGGGAGGCAGCAGUGGGGAAUAUUGGACAAUGGGCGAAAGCCUGAUCCAGCAAUGCCGCGUGAGUGAUGAAGGCCUUAGGGUUGUAAAGCUCUUUUACCAGGGAUGAUAAUGACAGUACCUGGAGAAUAAGCUCCGGCUAACUCCGUGCCAGCAGCCGCGGUAAUACGGAGGGAGCUAGCGUUGUUCGGAAUUACUGGGCGUAAAGCGCACGUAGGCGGCUUUUCAAGUCAGGGGUGAAAUCCCGGGGCUCAACCCCGGAACUGCC